CAUGCCGUAAACGAUGAUUACUAGGUGUGGGAGGAUUGACCCCUUCCGUGCCGCAGUUAACACAAUAAGUAAUCCACCUGGGGAGUACGACCGCAAGGUUGAAACUCAAAGGAAUUGACG
rnacentral:rRNA from 1 species